CUUAAAGGGAAUUCCAGGAAAACCAUGCUUCUGGUCAUAGAGGAAAAGAUGGGGUUGUUUUAGGUCAAAGUGUGAAGGACCUAGGACUGUGGUCCUAUAACCUCAGCUUUUCCAACAAGUGACUACGGAGUCACGAUGGAUUCCCGCCUACUACUAUGCGUGACUCGUGUGAAGUCAUUCCUGCAAGACUGCAGCAGCUUGGGCUCUACCAGUAGGUCUCCUUCCCUCUGUAGCAACCCUGGCACCUCCCUUCCCCUCUGCUAAGGAACAGGAAGGAUGAUUUGGAGUCUGAGCAUGCUUUCUCCAGCACCAAUUCCAGUUUGUGAGCUGAGAACAUCUGCAGCUGCGGGGGGUCCACAGGUCUGGGAGAAGAAAGAGUG